CCUUGAAUAGAGAGUCGCGUCAUCUCCAUUCACUCUAAUGGGCCAUUUUUUCACAGCAAUGGCGGAUCGCGGAGCCUCUCAGUAGUUCCCGGAAGUAAGCGGCACAUGCUAGCAGCCAUUGGAGUUACAGCAGAAAAGACCGGCUGUGUUGUACUUCUAACGGGAGCACUGGGUGGUGGUGGAGCAGUGAUGCUGCAGGACCACUGUGUGAGAGAGGACGCUGCAGCACAAGAACAACAGGGGGAUGCAAUGGAGCCUGAACUCACCCUGCAAUGAAACAACCCCCUUACCCUGAGUCUCAGCUCCCUGGGUUUUGCAAGCCUUUCUCUGUUCCUUAUUUUUAAUAAACCAAACACUGAGCUUCCCAAUAGUGUGGUAUUUGUUUGUGGAAAUGUGCUAAUGCAGUAUUUGAGAAUGAUAACCUUACAUAUUUUUGUUGUUGUAGUCUGUAGUGAGUCUCAGGUUACUCCUGCUGACUUAGGCCAAAAAAAAAAUUCUCAUCUCUGUGUCAAUGAAGAAAUUGUGCAUGUGUACCUCUCUCUCUAAACGAGUGGAACAUCCCCACACAGCACCAUGGUGGAGACUGUACAAGAGGACAACACAGAAGGAAGGGCACAGACAAACUGCUUAACAUCCAAGUCACGUUUCUGAGUUUAUUAAAAAUGAAUUUGUUAUAGUAAAUAAGUACAUAGUAAAAAGACAAAGAUACAUAAAAUAUACGUAUGUGUACUGUGUAUUGUUUUUCUCUAUAGCUGAUGUAAGGUGAAUUACUCCUGUGUGUGAUCAAUAAAGUUCUUAUCUUAGCCAUCUGAGAAGAUCAAA